rnacentral:rRNA from 1 species
AUUGAACGCUGGCGGCAGGCUUAACACAUGCAAGUCGAGCGGAGAUGAGGUGCUUGCACCUUAUCUUAGCGGCGGACGGGUGAGUAAUGCUUAGGAAUCUGCCUAUUAGUGGGGGACAACAUUCCGAAAGGAAUGCUAAUACCGCAUACGCCCUACGGGGGAAAGCAGGGGAUCUUCGGACCUUGCGCUAAUAGAUGAGCCUAAGUCGGAUUAGCUAGUUGGUGGGGUAAAGGCCUACCAAGGCGACGAUCUGUAGCGGGUCUGAGAGGAUGAUCCGCCACACUGGGACUGAGACACGGCCUAGACUCCUACGGGAGGCAGCAGUGGGGAAUAUUGGACAAUGGGCGGAAGCCUGAUCCAGCCAUGCCGCGUGUGUGAAGAAGGCCUUUUGGUUGUAAAGCACUUUAAGCGAGGAGGUGGCUACUAGUUCUAAUACUACUGGAUAGUGGACGUUACUCGCAGAAUAAGCACCGGCUAACUCUGUGCCAGCCGCCGCAGUAAUAC